GGCGAACGCUGGCGGCGUGCCUAAUACAUGCAAGUCGAACGAAGCUUUUUUAACUGGUGCUUGCACCGACUCAAACAACUGAGUGGCGAACGGGUGAGUAACACGUGGGUAACCUGCCCCAAAGCGGGGGAUAACAUUUGGAAACAGAUGCUAAUACCGCAUAACCACAGAAACCACAUGGCUUCGGGGUCAAAGAUGGCUUAGGCAAUUGAUUUGGGAUGGCACCGCCGCGUAUUAGCUAGUUGGUAAGGUAAUGGCUUACCAAGGCAAGGGUACGUAGCCGAACUGAGAGGGUGAUCGGCCACAUUGGGACUGAGACACGGCCCAAACUCCUACGGGAGGCAACCAUAGGGAAUCUUCCACAAUGGACGAAAGUCUGAUGGAGCAACGCCGCGUGAGUGAAGAAGGUUUUCGGAUCGCAAAACUCUGUUGUCAGAGAAGAACGUGUGCGAGAGUAACUGUUCGUGCAGUGACGGUAUCUGGCCAGAAAGCCACGGCUAACUACGUGCCAGCAGCCGCCGUAA
rnacentral:rRNA from 1 species